rnacentral:rRNA from 1 species
UACGUAGGGUGCGAGCGUUGUCCGGAAUUAUUGGGCGUAAAGAGCUCGUAGGCGGUUUGUCGCGUCGGCCGUGAAAACUUGGGGCUUAACCCCGAGCCUGCGGUCGAUACGGGCAGACUUGAGUUCGGCAGGGGAGACUGGAAUUCCUGGUGUAGCGGUGAAAUGCGCAGAUAUCAGGAGGAACACCAGCGGCGAAGGCGGCGCUCUGGGCCGGUACUGACACUGAGGAGCGAAAGCGUGGGUAGCAAACAGG